UACGUAGGGGGCAAGCGUUGUCCGGAAUCAUUGGGCGUAAAGAGCGUGUAGGCGGCUGGGUAGGUCCGUUGUGAAAACUCGAGGCUCAACCUCGAGACGCCGAUGGAAACCCUCCAGCUAGAGUCCGGAAGAGGAGAGUGGAAUUCCUGGUGUAGCGGUGAAAUGCGUAGAUAUCAGGAGGAACACCUGUGGUGUAGACAGCUUACUGGACCAUUUCUGACGCUGAGACACGAAAGCGUGGGUAGCAAACAGG
rnacentral:rRNA from 1 species